rnacentral:rRNA from 1 species
CCCUUAGAUGUUCUGGGCCGCACGCGUGCUACACUGAGUGGAUCAGCGGGUCAGGUUGCGCGAAAGCGUUUCCUAAUCUUUAAAUCCGCUCGUGAUGGGGAUUGACGGUUGCAAUUUUCUGUCAUGAACGAGGAAUACCUUGUAAGCGCGGGUCAUCAUCCCGCGCUGAAUACGUCCCUGCCCUUUGUACACACCGCCCGUCGCUCCUACCGAUUGAGUGGUCCGGUGAGGCUUUGGGAUCUGAGCGGAAAGAGCGUUUCGCUGUUUCUGCUCGGAAAACUCAGUCGAACCUUAUCAUUUAGAGGAAGGGGAAGUCGUAACC